AUUGAACGCUGGCGGCAUGCCUUACACAUGCAAGUCGAACGGUAACAGGUCUUCGGAUGCUGACGAGUGGCGAACGGGUGAGUAAUACAUCGGAACGUGCCUAGUUGUGGGGGAUAACUACUCGAAAGAGUGGCUAAUACCGCAUGAGAUCUACGGAUGAAAGCAGGGGAUCGCAAGACCUUGUGAUAUUAGAGCGGCCGAUGGCAGAUUAGGUAGUUGGUGGGAUAAAAGGUUACCACGCCGACGAUCUGUAGCUGGUCUGAGAGGACGAUCAGCCACUCUGGGCCUGAGAGACGGCCCAGACUCCUAGUGGAGGCAGCAUGGUGGAAUUUUGGACCAUGGGCGCAAGCCUGAUUCAUCAAUGCAGCGUGCAGGAUGAAGGCCUUCGGGUUGUAAACGGCUUUGGUACGUAACGAAAAGCCCUGGGUUAAUACCCUGGGGUCAUGACGGUACCGUAAGAAUAAGCACCGACUAACUACUUGCCAGCCGCCGCAGUAACAC
rnacentral:rRNA from 1 species